UGGACCUACAGACAGAUAAUGGCCAGACAGUAAGGUCAAGGCUGAAGGCUGUGUGUUUGAAGGGUUUGUGCAUCACAGAGGAUACAGCCUCUUCUUAAACUGGGAAGGCAGGGAGUUAACACUGGCACAGGCUUGAUGGGUGAAUAGGAAAUUGACAGGAAGACAAAAAGGGUGGCAGAGAAGGUCAUGAUGUGGAGGUAAAAGAGCGAGAUGAGUCUGGGGAGCUGCAAGUAAUCCAGUUUGAUUGAUGUUAAAAGCCCUUGGGUCAUGGGGCAAAGCCAGAUCACUGAGGGACCUAGAAGCCAGGUUUAGAAGUGUGUCUUCCUGCUGUGACCUGAGACAGCCACCGUGAGGUUAUAAUAGGGGAAUUUGGGAAGUGGCAUGAUGGGCUUGGGCUCCAGGGAGUGAGAAGCUCCAAGUAGGACCCUGAGCAAGGCAGUGCCUAUGGGGAUGAGAACAGCCUGGCUUGUCUGUGCUAACAAGAAGUCCACUCUCCCCCUAAAAUAUUCCAGGGAAGGCAGACCUUCUGAGAGAAGUUUCAGGCAGCUGGGCUGUCAGAAUGAUGAGUUCUGCAGACCAGCAGCUGAAUGAAAGAAGAAAAAUGUCCCAACAAGCCCCGUUUCACUGCCCUUGACCUUGCAGUAGAGCUCUAAGUGCAAAAUCUGUCAUCUAUUAAUCUGCUAGAAGUUGACAAAAGGGACUUUGAUCAGGGGUUGUUUUUUCUCCCCUUCUUAAGUUUCCUGAUGACACAUAAUAGCCCAUUUCAGCCGUAGGCCCGGAAGCACGGCCAUCAUUCUUUUGCUCACUUCAACCCCAGUGGCCUCCUCCCCUCUGUGGCUUUCCCCCAUCCCCUGCCCUGAUAUUAAUUGGCCUGUAAGUGGUUACAUGUGUUUCUUUUUAUGUGUCAGUUGGAACCCGUUAUUUGAACUUCACAGCUAUUUGGGAACACAGAAAGGAUUCUCUGGGCCCGAGUUGGAAAAUGGAACCAUCUAGAACAUGUCACAUUUGCUUCUACCUCCUGUUUUUUUUUUUUUUUUUCUUCCUCUAUGCCUUGAGGUCUUGAUAUCUCCCACCCUCACUCCUAUUCUAUCUCCACUCCUCUGAGUUAGGUCUACCCUAACUUUUUAGACCAUGGACAUUCACAGCCAGGAGGGACCUUAGGGAGCCUACAAACUUUUCUUCUACAAUCUAUAGCUUCUUGUUUUAAAGUUAGAGAAACUGAAGCCUAAGAGAGGAAAGCAAUUUUUUUUUAAUGAAAGUAACAUCUGUUUCAGGUCUAUUAGGUACAGGUUUCUUACAUGUGUUCUCUCAUUUUAUCCUCAAAAUAACUGAGUUAGGAAUCACAUUGCCAUUUUUCAGAUGAUGAAAUGGAGACUCCUGGAGACAAAGCAGAAAGGAUGCUUGGGGCGGAUUGCCUAGGAUUAUAUUCCAUCUCCAGCACUUACCAGCUGUGUGAUCUUGGGCAAGUGGUUUACCUUCUCUGUGCUUCAAGUUGCUGGAGAAAGGUGGGGAGAAAAAUAAGAGCUGGAAAACACAUGGCCCUAAACAGGCACUGGCGACUGCCCCUGGCUGCCUCUCUGAAUUCAUGUCACAUCACAACAGCUUGCCUGGCACUUGUUUCCUCAGUUGCUGUUUCCUGGAGCUCCUUCCAUCAGGGUGGGUCUUUCUGACCUGCAAGUCCCCUCCAUACCUCAUAAGCCUUGGGCAGAUGCUCAGUGAGUAUCCACAGUAUGGACGAAAAAUGAUUCAACAGCUUCCUGCACCCAAACCAGGUCAGACCAUCGGGGCUUGAGGAGUAUUACAGAGUGGCAGGAG
rnacentral:lncRNA from 1 species